rnacentral:rRNA from 1 species
GGUGCUAACGUCCGUCGUGAAGAGGGAAACAACCCAGACCGCCAGCUAAGGUCCCAAAGUCAUGGUUAAGUGGGAAACGAUGUGGGAAGGCCCAGACAGCCAGGAUGUUGGCUUAGAAGCAGCCAUCAUUUAAAGAAAGCGUAAUAGCUCACUGGUCGAGUCGGCCUGCGCGGAAGAUGUAACGGGGCUAAACCAUGCACCGAAGCUGCGGCAGCGACACUGUGUGUUGUUGGGUAGGGGAGCGUUCUGUAAGCCUGUGAAGGUGUGUCGUGAGGCAUGCUGGAGGUAUCAGAAGUGCGAAUGCUGACAUAAGUAACGAUAAAGCGGGUGAAAAGCCCGCUCGCCGGAAGACCAAGGGUUCCUGUCCAACGUUAAUCGGGGCAGGGUGAGUCGACCCCUAAGGCGAGGCCGAAAGGCGUAGUCGAUGGGAAACGGGUUAAUAUUCCCGUACUUGGUGUUACUGCGAAGGGGGGACGGAGAAGGCUAUGUUGGCCGGGCGACGGUUGUCCCGGUUUAAGCGUGUAGGUGUGUGUUCCAGGUAAAUCCGGUUCACUUUAACACUGAGGCGUGACGACGAGGCACUACGGUGCUGAAGCAACAAAUGCCCUGCUUCCAGGAAAAGCCUCUAAGCAUCAGGUAACAUCAAAUCGUACCCCAAACCGACACAGGUGGUCAGGUAGAGAAUACCAAGGCGCUUGAGAGAACUCGGGUGAAGGAACUAGGCAAAAUGGUGCCGUAACUUCGGGAGAAGGCACGCUGACACGUAGGUGAAGUGAUUUACUCAUGGAGCUGAAGUCAGUCGAAGAUACCAGCUGGCUGCAACUGUUUAUUAAAAACACAGCACUGUGCAAACACGAAAGUGGACGUAUACGGUGUGACGCCUGCCCGGUGCCGGAAGGUUAAUUGAUGGGGUCAGCGCAAGCGAAGCUCCUGAUCGAAGCCCCGGUAAACGGCGGCCGUAACUAUAACGGUCCUAAGGUAGCGAAAUUCCUUGUCGGGUAAGUUCCGACCUGCACGAAUGGCGUAAUGAUGGCCAGGCUGUCUCCACCCGAGACUCAGUGAAAUUGAACUCGCUGUGAAGAUGCAGUGUACCCGCGGCAAGACGGAAAGACCCCGUGAACCUUUACUAUAGCUUGACACUGAACAUUGAGCCUUGAUGUGUAGGAUAGGUGGGAGGCUUUGAAGUGUGGACGCCAGUCUGCAUGGAGCCGACCUUGAAAUACCACCCUUUAAUGUUUGAUGUUCUAACGUGGACCCGU